AUUGAACGCUGGCGGCAUGCCUUACACAUGCAAGUCGAACGGUAACGCGGGGCAACCUGGCGACGAGUGGCGAACGGGUGAGUAAUGCAUCGGAACGUGCCCAGUAGUGGGGGAUAGCCCGGCGAAAGCCGGAUUAAUACCGCAUACGACCUACGGGUGAAAGCGGGGGAUCGCAAGACCUCGCGCUAUUGGAGCGGCCGAUGUCAGAUUAGGUAGUUGGUGGGGUAAAGGCCUACCAAGCCUACGAUCUGUAGCUGGUCUGAGAGGACGACCAGGCACACGGGACCUGAGACACGGCCCCGACUCCUGCGGGAGGCAGCAUUGGGAAAUUUUGGACAAUGGGGGCAACCCUGAACCGGCCAUGCCGCGGGCGGGAAGAAGGCCUUCGGGUUGUAAAGCGCUUUUGUCGGGGAAGAAAUCCUCCGGGCUAAUACCCCGGGGGGAUGACGGUACCCGGAGAAUAAGCACCGGCUAACUACGUGCCAGCCGCCGCGGUAAAAC
rnacentral:rRNA from 1 species